rfam:Spirochaetes bacterium RBG_16_49_21 RBG_16_scaffold_813, whole genome shotgun sequence.
GGAGAGGUGCCCGAGAGGCCGAAGGGGACGGUUUGCUAAACCGUUGUACUGUAACGGUACCGGGGGUUCGAAUCCCCCCCUCUCCG